rnacentral:lncRNA from 1 species
UUAAGAGUAGUUAUUUUUUAUUUUUUUGACAAUGUAUGAGAAUGACAAAUAAUAGGCGGUUAGGUAGGAAAUUUAAUAGAUUCACAUUCAAAAGUGACCAAUAAAAGUUGCUUUUGGGAAGAAAGUUAAACUGUGACUCCUCAAAGCGGUGAUGAGGGUAUUACCUUGUAAAAUUCCUUUAAUUCCAACCUUGAAUUCAGAUCUGAGGCAGUGUUCCACACAUUUCCCAUUACUGACCCCCCUUAACCUUGACUGAACACAGCCAGGGGCUUUGUCUCUCCCUCCCAGGAUAGGACAUCUAGACUUCCCCUGGGGGCGGAGGCGCCUGCUUUGGUAUCUAGGAAUAGACCAUAUGGGAGACAAGCAGGAAAAGAUGCUGGGAAAAUGUCAAGAGUUUAACAGUGACUCGGAGCACAUGCAGCUGGACCGGCUUCAGGCUACAGUAUACUCCUCAGACACACUGGGUCCUGUCCCCCCCCAAAAAAAAAAAUUACACAGGAAUGUCUGUUUACUAUCAGCGUUCCGAAGCAGAGAACCCCAAAAAAUGCUGUGCUUAAUGAGUCCUGUCACACAAGGUUAGAGGUCACAACCUGAGGGUCACACAGGUCAGGGAUGUAAAGAAAGAGGUGGUUUGUAUAGACAGGAUAUUACAAGAUAAAUACUCAAAUAUUGCAUUUUCAUCUGUUUGAAGUGAACAAGAGAACCUAAAAUGUGACAAAAAUACACCUAGAAACCGAAAUCUGGGUGAAUAUUGUUUUAAGACGGGAAGUGGAGGUUAGAUUCGACAAUCAAAACUGCAUAAUUUAGCAGUGGCGUACCAUUACCCUUGGCGUAUAACUAUAUAAAAAAAAUCCUUAUAUCCAUUUUGAUCAAGCUCUCCCACUCUUUAAAAGCUCCCCAUAAUGAGUUACGGGUGACUUGACAUUCCCAUGGCUUAAAAAACCCUAAGCCUGGUUCUACAGUCAUGCACGUAACAGAUAGAGAAACAGAAACAUCCAGAAACAUUUAAUGAGAUCUCCUUCUUCAGUUACAUGUGAUAGUGGGGUUACAUAUGACAAUGCUGAAACAUCCUCUGCAUUAAAUGCCAGUCAACACUUGGCCCAUGGAUAAGAGUGAGUGAAGAGCUUUCCUCCAAAACAUUUAGCACACAGCUCAUAUGAUUUUCCAUGACAUGGUUGCCUUGGCGUUGACCUCCAGGCAGGUCCGGAUGAGACAAGGAAGCGGUUCCUUUCUGUGAAGGAAGCAGGAAGCCAUUGACGGUGUAUUGGGAAAGACCCUGGAAAGAAGCAGCUAAUGACUGCUAUACAUGAUGAUCAGAGGAACACAAACAUUGCUUCCCUCAUAGUCAAAUAAAAGUUAAGGUAUGUCAGCAAAGCCCCCUAAAAUAAGGAGACUUUGUCCGUUUUCUUUUAUUAAAACUCUUGUCUGUCCCUCUUGGACACAGGCGCUCCAUCAUUAGCAUAACCAGGCUUACAGAGCUCAGACAGCUUACAGUCCAGCAUUUAGACUGGUGGUGGGUGGCGACGACGCCCGUAGCAAUACAUGUUUUCUCAACCCCACCUUUCAAAAUUGUUAUAAUGAUUAAAACGUCAACCUCCAGUCUCUUUUUUACUUAAAACCAGUCAUUAUUUCUCUAUAUUUAGGUACAGUCCUGAAGGUGCAGCCAGUCAGCACUGUGGGGUGGGUUUCUAUUGAAGCAGGUUAGCAGGAAGGGAGCUGUAGUGCUGCUCCAGCCAGGUCAUGGUGCAGAGCAGAGAUCUCACUCUUUUGGCAUCAAACAUCUUCACUUCUUUCAUUCCACCUCUGUCUGCAUUGUCCUCCGUAUUGUCAUGUGGGUCUGCGUCCAUUAUAGCAAGGCUGCAUACUGUACUUAUUCGCUGAGCUCGACCUCUGAACAGAAUUGCGGAGAAAGUAUGAGUUCUCCAUUGAAAAGUCUGAACAAUGGCUAAAAUCUCAAUACAGCAGUAAAUUCAGUGUCAGCGACCAAUCUUUACCUUUUUU